CGGGAUGUAGCGCAGCCUGGUAGCGCACUCGUCUGGGGGGCGAGGGGUCGCAAGUUCAAAUCUUGUCAUCCCGA
rnacentral:tRNA from 4 species